AGAGUUUGAUCAUGGCUCAGGACGAACGCUGGCGGCGUGCUUAACACAUGCAAGUCGAACGGAAAGGCCCUUCGGGGUACUCGAGUGGCGAACGGGUGAGUAACACGUGGGUGAUCUGCCCUGCACUUUGGGAUAAGCCUGGGAAACUGGGUCUAAUACCGAAUAGGACCACGCGCUUCAUGGUGUGUGGUGGAAAGCUUUUGCGGUGUGGGAUGGGCCCGCGGCCUAUCAGCUUGUUGGUGGGGUAAUGGCCUACCAAGGCGACGACGGGUAGCCGGCCUGAGAGGGUGACCGGCCACACUGGGACUGAGAUACGGUCCAGACUCCUACGGGAGGCAGCAGUGGGGAAUAUUGCACAAUGGGCGCAAGCCUGAUGCAGCGACGCCGCGUGAGGGAUGACGACCUUCGGGUUGUAAACCUCUUUCAAUAGGGACGAAGCGCAAGUGACGGUACCUAUAGAAGAAGCACCGGCCAACUACGUGCCAGCAGCCGCGGUAAUACGUAGGGUGCGAGCGUUGUCCGGAAUUACUGGGCGUAAAGAGCUCGUAGGUGGUUUGUCGCGUUGUUCGUGAAAACUCACAGCUUAACUGUGGGCGUGCGGGCGAUACGGGCAGACUAGAGUACUGCAGGGGAGACUGGAAUUCCUGGUGUAGCGGUGGAAUGCGCAGAUAUCAGGAGGAACACCGGUGGCGAAGGCGGGUCUCUGGGCAGUAACUGACGCUGAGGAGCGAAAGCGUGGGGAGCGAACAGGAUUAGAUACCCUGGUAGUCCAA
rnacentral:rRNA from 1 species